UUUAAAACACAAAAAUUGUUUAUCAGACAGUUAAGGACUAAGGAGUCGUUUGUGAAUUAACCCAUUGAGUGACAGCACUCUCUCCCUGAUGAGUAAAAUCCUUGGCAUUAGACACAGUAAAAUAAUAAAGUAGGUCACAUGAGGGUACAUUGCCACUUAAAGGGUUAUAUUGAUUAGGGCGCAUAUAUUGAUUAUUGGUGCAGAAUUUAGCUUUUUGCACCUAACUGAUGCAUGCGAUAGACAGUGGUUAUAUUUCACCUCAGGGCCGUAGCAACCAGGGGGGGGGGGGUGCUGUUUGAAAACUAAAUUAAAAAAUUUCCUCGGGCCUUUGGCCAUUGCUUUCAGUUCCCCAAUCAAAAAGAGCUUCCCACAGCACUGCACUCCCUGAGCU